rnacentral:rRNA from 1 species
CCUACGGGAGGCAGCAGUGAGGAAUAUUGGUCAAUGGACGCAAGUCUGAACCAGCCAUGCCGCGUGCAGGAAGACGGCUCUAUGAGUUGUAAACUGCUUUUGUACGAGGGUAAACGCAGAUACGCGUAUCUGUCUGAAAGUAUCGUACGAAUAAGGAUCGGCUAACUCCGUGCCAGCAGCCGCGGUAAUACGGAGGAUUCAAGCGUUAUCCGGAUUUAUUGGGUUUAAAGGGUGCGUAGGCGGUCGGAUAAGUUAGAGGUGAAAACCCGAGGCUCAACUUCGGAAUUGCAUCUGAUACUGUUCGGCUAGAGAGUAGUUGCGGUAGGCGGAAUGUAUGGUGUAGCGGUGAAAUGCUUAGAGAUCAUACAGAACACCGAUUGCGAAGGCAGCUUACCAAGCUACUUCUGACGUUGAGGCACGAAAGUGUGGGGAGCAAACAGGAUUAGAUACCCUUGUAGUC